UCGUUUUGUGUGUAUAAUUUGUAUCCCAGCACUUUUACAUAGAUAGUAACGAAAUGGAAUAAACUUACAUACUGUGCCGACCCCAUACAUAAGUGGGAUAAGGUCAAGAAGAAGAAGAAUACUUUAACAUAGAUACUCAAUAUCUUUCCGUAGCUAUUGUUGUUGCAAUUGGGAUGCAAAGCCUUGACUUGACGACUUUAGUGAAAUGGUGGAUCAUGACGAGAUCCUAAUCAUUAACAUUUACCCUUGGGCGUCACAGCUGAGAAUGUAACCAGGAACACACGAGGAUUAGAGAGGAAAUCUCCAGAAGUGCCGCCUGCGCCUAUACAGCCGUGUUGCGUAAACGCCGUUUCCGCCCGGUAUUAGAAGUGACAAACUGUGUGAAAACUCAAAAAGUGCUGUUUAGAUGGGCUCCGCUUAAUGGCUUGGCUUUAUGGCGGGAAUAAA